rnacentral:rRNA from 1 species
UACGUAGGGGGCAAGCGUUGUCCGGAUUUAUUGGGUUUAAAGGGUGCGUAGGCGGCCUUGUAAGUCAGUGGUGAAAGCCUCCAGCUCAACUGGAGAACUGCCAUUGAUACUGCAAGGCUUGAGUACAGACGAGGUUGGCGGAAUUGAUUGUGUAGCGGUGAAAUGCAUAGAUACAAUCAAGAACUCCGAUUGCGUAGGCAGCUAACUAGGCUGUAACUGACGCUGAGGCACGAAAGCGUGGGGAGCGAACAGG